CGUUACGGCAUCAAGGAAGCCUCGGUUGUCGGUUGGUUUGGCAAAAUUCGAGAAACAAAACGCAAAUUAGAAACUACAUUGCCUUCCGAGAAUAACUGGGGACUAAAGAAGCAAAGUGCCGGAAGAGAUACGACGGUUUCCAUGUCGCAAAUGAAAACGUACAUUAAGUGGCGGUUUAAAGGAUCGGGAGUUCCUGACGUCACAGCCUGGAUUUAAAUCCUACAUGAAAGUUCAAGCAUCAUGCCUCCCAGGUGGGCUGCAUAAAACCGAUCCCGCUAGAGUCGCAGAUAUUUGAGGCUGCUUUCAAGUAAGUGUACAUUCAGAGCAGACGGGUCGUCUUAUCGCAACGCUGUCCUGUUAGUGUGUGUGGAUGGGUGGGAACGUUUCGUAGUCAACCUCAAAACAUAGUGGAGCAGCGUCCAUGUUUGUUUCUAAAAAGUGAGCAUGAGGGUCCGUUUGCAGUCCAUUUUGCAUUGUAAGUGUGACAAGGUCCAUGAAUAGGGCUGGCUACAUUCUUUGCAUUCCACAGUAAUAGACAUGAGCGUCCGCCAUUGCCCUGCAAAAUGAGAUGACAUCACUUAUCCAGAGAGCCCUCACACCCCGCCUCUCCACUGGCCACCUUGCUCAGCAAAUCCAAAAUGGCCAUCAUGCGUCCCACAUGCUAUACCGUCUACACACGAGUUUCUUUCCCCAUCCCUUAAAUAAACUCAAGAGCGCCUCGGUUUGUCCUGUACACAUAAACAUACGUGUUGAAAAAAGACCCUAGAAAAACAAAAACAGUAACGUCUGCCUGUGUCACAGGUCAAGUUUAAAGUCUAAUUUCACAAAGAAAUUCACAAGUUUGUUAGUUUCUCCAAAAAAGUAACUUUAUCAAGAAUCAAAAAGUUAAAAUACAUUCUAGUAGCCUGCUAGCUGAAUCAGUCAGUUACGCUGUGCUACAGCCUCUCUUCUUUAUUAAAAAAAUGCUGUAAAAGCUUGUUGUCCCGUUCAGACAACAUCCCUCGUCUUUGUCGACUUAACAGACAGCUAAAACACUGUUACAGCUCUUAGAGCAGUACUCUUUGUUAAAUCUUUAAAGUUGUCAGAAACAGUUAGACAAAGGGGCUGAUGUGAAGAGUACGGAAGAGGAUUAGGGAACCUCGGAAAACAAAAAACUGUUCUGACUUUAAUCUAUAAUCCAGAUAAUAUCUCAAUAUAAAGAGAUAUAAUCUAGAUAAAAUCUCUAGAUAUAAUCUUGAGAUACAACCUAGAUAAGAUUAAAUCUAGAUAAUAUCUUGAGAUACAACCUAGAUAUAAUUAGAUAAGAAUUCUGAGAUUAAAGUCAGAACUGUUUUAAAAACAUUUUCCCAGUGGCCCCAAUCCUCUACCAUAGAAGAGAAAAGCGAGGGAUGGAGCUUAAAAACGGAGAGAUAAGAAGCUAAAGGCAGAGCAACUGAACAAAAAAAAAAAACAA